rnacentral:rRNA from 1 species
AACGGCGAGUGAAGCGGCAACAGCUCAAAUUUGAAAUCUGGCCUCACGGUCCGAAUUGUAAUUUGUAGAGGAUGUUUCUGGCGACGUGUCUUCCGAGUUCCCUGGAACGGGACGCCAUAGAGGGUGAGAGCCCCGUCCGGUCGUACACCUAGCCUCUGUGAAACUCCUUCGACGAGUCGAGUAGUUUGGGAAUGCUGCUCUAAAUGGGAGGUAUACGUCUUCUAAAGCUAAAUACCGGCCAGAGACCGAUAGCGCACAAGUAGAGUGAUCGAAAGAUGAAAAGCACUUUGAAAAGAGGGUUAAAUAGUACGUGAAAUUGCUGAAAGGGAAGCGCUUAUGACCAGACUUGGGCUCGGUGAAUCAUCCGGCGUUCUCGCCGGUGCACUUUGCCGUCCCAGGCCAGCAUCAGUUCGCGCCGGGGGAUAAAGGUUUCGGGAAUGUAGCUCCCUCGGGAGUGUUAUAGCCCGUUGCGUAAUACCCUGGCGUGGACUGAGGUCCGCGCUCUGCAAGGAUGCUGGCGUAAUGGUCAUCAGUGACCCGUCUUGAAACACGGACCAAGGAGUCGUCUUCGUAUGCGAGUGUUCGGGUGUCAAACCCCUACGCGUAAUGAAAGUGAACGUAGGAGAGAGCUUCGGCGCAUCUCCGACCGAUCCUGAUGUUCUCGGAUGGAUUUGAGUAAGAGCAUACGGGGCCGGACCCGAAAGAAGGUGAACUAUGCCUGUAUAGGGUGAAGCCAGAGGAAACUCUGGUGGAGGCUCGCAGCGGUUCUGACGUGCAAAUCGAUCGUCAAAUAUGGGCAUGGGGGCGAAAGACUAAUCGAACCUUCUAGUAGCUGGUUUCCGCCGAAGUUUCCCUCAGGAUAGCAGUGUUGAACUCAGUUUUAUGAGGUAAAGCGAAUGAUUAGGGACCCGGGGGCGCUUUUUAGCCUUCAUCCAUUCUCAAACUUUAAAUAUGUAAGAAGCCCUUGUUGCUUAGUUGAACGUGGGCAUUCGAAUGUAUCAACACUAGUGGGCCAUUUUUGGUAAGCAGAACUGGCGAUGCGGGAUGAACCGAACGCGAGGUUAAGGUGCCAGAGUAGACGCUCAUCAGACACCACAAAAGGUGUUAGUACAUUUUGACAUUUGGACGGUGGCCAUGGAAGUCGGAAUCCGCUAAGGACUGUGUAACAACUCACCAAACGAAUGUACUAGCCCUGAAAAUGGAUGGCGCUCAAGCGUCUCACCCAUACCUCGCCCUCAGGGUAGAAACGAUGCCCUGAGGAGUAGGCGGACGUGGAGGUCAGU